UGCCCGUAUCUUUGCUUCUUUUCAACGUACAAUAAAGAAAAAUAUACCAAAAGAAUCGCCAUCUUGCAUUCUAUAGCUCGGAGCAGUCUCGGAAAAUUGCGUAAUAAUCUAUCCCUAUUACGGCGAUUCUCGUGGUCGGAAAGUGUUCGGCCAACUUCGGACGUCAAAUUCUUGGUAAACAUUACAGUUUCCUGGUAAAAGAUUGCAGAAAUCACUUCCGGAAUGUUUUUUACCCUAGAUGCGGAUUUUGAUUGGCUUAGGCAAAAAAACAAACCUCUUAUGGCAAUUUUCCUGAUUUAAAAAUAUCGCACACGAGCGUUGUUAUGUAUUGUCAGGGGCCGACCAUUUAAGAGCCGCCAUCUGUACAUAUCGAAUGGAGGUAUGCAAAAUGAAAAAAUUCAAAAUCUUCAAACUUUGUCAGA